ensembl:snoRNA
GAUCAGUGAUGAAAAAUAGCCAAAUCUGAGUGCUUAGGCAGAAUCUGCCUCAGCCUGUGAUUAUGUUUGAGA